rnacentral:rRNA from 1 species
UACGAAGGGGGCUAGCGUUGUUCGGAAUUACUGGGCGUAAAGCGCACGUAGGCGGAUAUUUAAGUCAGGGGUGAAAUCCCAGAGCUCAACUCUGGAACUGCCUUUGAUACUGGGUAUCUUGAGUAUGGAAGAGGUAAGUGGAAUUGCGAGUGUAGAGGUGAAAUUCGUAGAUAUUCGCAGGAACACCAGUGGCGAAGGCGGCUUACUGGUCCAUUACUGACGCUGAGGUGGCGAAAAGCG